rnacentral:rRNA from 1 species
UACAGAGGUCUCAAGCGUUGUUCGGAUUCAUUGGGCGUAAAGGGUGCGUAGGCGGCGCGGUAAGUCAGACGUGAAAUCCCUCAGCUUAACUGGGGAACUGCGUCUGAGACUGGAUGGCUUGAGUGCAGGAGAGGAACGCGGAAUUCCAGGUGUAGCGGUGAAAUGCGUAGAUAUCUGGAGGAACACCGGUGGCGAAGGCGGCGUUCUGGACUGCAACUGACACUGAGGAACGAAAGCCAGGGGAGCAAACGGG